rnacentral:rRNA from 1 species
AGUGAACGCUGGCGGCAGGCCUAACACAUGCAAGUCGAACGGCAGCACAGGAGAGCUUGCUCUCUGGGUGGCGAGUGGCGGACGGGUGAGGAAUAUAUCGGAAUCUACCCUUUCGUGGGGGAUAACGUAGGGAAACUUACGCUAAUACCGCAUACGAACUGAGGUUGAAAGCGGCGGACCGCAAGGCGUCGCGCGGAUGGAUGAGCCGAUAUCCGAUUAGCUAGUUGGCGGGGUAAAGGCCCACCAAGGCGACGAUCGGUAGCUGGUCUGAGAGGAUGAUCAGCCACACUGGAACUGAGACACGGUCCAGACUCCGACGGGAGGCAGCAGUGGGGAAUGUUGGACAAUGGGCGCAAGCCUGAUCCAGCCAUGCCGCGUGUGUGAAGAAGGCCUUCGGGUUGUAAAGCACUUUUGUUGGGAAAGAAAAGCGGUCGGUUAAUACCCGGUCGUUCUGACGGUACCCAAAGAAUAAGCACCGGCUAACUUCGUGCCAGCAGCCGCGGUAA